UGUUUACUAACAAGUGCAUAUUUUAAAAUAAAAAUGACAACAUACAACAGACAUUAAAACUUAUACUGAAAAUUAAAUGGAAAAAAAAAUGGAGAAUAAGGUUUGAUAGUAAAAGUUUUCUAUUACUGAAUACAUCAGUUCCCUACAUGUGUUGUAGAUAUAUUGGUAUAAAAUUGUUUGUAAUGAAUUAAAAAAAUUAUCAGAAAAAUGCAUAUUUCUUAAUUAAAAGUAUCUCAUUGUUUGCCUCCCGCCUCUGCACCACACAUCUAGUCAUAUAAAUGUCAGAUUCUAUACAUAGACAUCUGAUAAGCACUAUUACUCAAAAUUAUUUUUGUGUAUUAUAAAAUUAUUUCUAUGUAUUUUACUGAUGUUCGAAUUACAUUUACUAUUAACGACUACAUAACUAAACACCACCAGCUACAUUUUUUUAAUAAUAUCUAUAUCGCUUAAAUACAUUGAGAGUUUGAAUGAAUUUGCGAGUGGAAUAAUAGUUGCUAUUGAUUUCCACCUCUUAUACAAAAAGGAAUUAAAAUAGUCGAUCUAUUUAUAAGCACAACUGCAGAGUGACUACUAAUCCUCAUUAUAACGGAUCCUCACUUAGUUUUCUAUUAAGCAAAAUACUGAAAACUUCUGUAUAUUUUGAAAAAUGUUUUAAAUAAAAAUGUAUUCUUAAUAUUAAGUAUAUUUUUUUAUUUAAUAAUUAGUUUAUAAACCCAUAAAGGUUCAAGAACAACGUAAGGUUGCGUAUGAAUAAUCAAGAAAUAUAUUUUAAUUAAAAUGAAGAAUAUAUUAUGUCCAGUAUCUCCAGCGUCUUGCUUUACUUGCCCCUUUGGCCAUCCAGCAAGGCAAAUCGAUGACUUCCAUGUCAAUUGUCAUCGGUGUACAGUUCAUUGUCGUUCUUCUUCUGAAGGUAAUGCUAUGUGUUCAAGUCUUUCAAAUGGCUUUAUUCUGGGUAAUAGGUUUUCUUUGUACAUA